ACACACCGCCCGUCACCCUCCUCAAGUAUAUUUCAAGGAAUCUCUAACUAAACACUCCACGCAUCUAUAUAGAGGAGAUAAGUCGUAACAUGGUAAGUGUACUGGAAGGUGCACUUGGACAAAC
rnacentral:rRNA from 1 species